GACGUAGGGCGCGAGCGUUGUCCGGAAUCAUUGGGCGUAAAGCGCGCGUAGGCGGCCCGGUAAGUCCGCUGUAAAAGUCAAAGGCUCAACCUUUGAAUGCCGGUGGAUACUGUCGGGCUAGAGUCCGGAAGAGGCGAGUGGAAUUCCUGGUGUAGCGGUGGAAUGCGCAGAUAUCAGGAAGAACACCUAUGGCGAAGGCAGCUCUCUGGGACGGUACUGACGCUGAGACGCGAAAGCGUGGGGGAGCGAACAGG
rnacentral:rRNA from 1 species